rnacentral:rRNA from 1 species
GCAGGGCGCUUUGCGCGACAGCGCAAAGGCAGGCGGUUUCGCGUAGCGAAAGCGAAUGCUUUGGGGUGGGGUGACUGCGUACCUUUUGUAUAAUGGGUCAGCGACUUAUAUUCUGUAGCAAGGUUAACCGAAUAGGGGAGCCGGAGGGAAACCGAGUCUUAAUUGGGCGUUAAGUUGCAGGGUAUAGACCCGAAACCCGGUGAUCUAGCCAUGGGCAGGUUGAAGGUUGGGUAACACUAACUGGAGGACCGAACCGACUAAUGUUGAAAAAUUAGCGGAUGACCUGUGGCUGGGGGUGAAAGGCCAAUCAAACCGGGAGAUAGCUGGUUCUCCCCGAAAGCUAUUUAGGUAGCGCCUCGUGAAUUCAUCUCCGGGGGUAGAGCACUGUUUCGGCUAGGGGGCCAUCCCGGCUUACCAACCCGAUGCAAACUGCGAAUACCGGAGAAUGUUAUCACGGGAGACACACGGCGGGUGCUAACGUCCGUCGUGAAGAGGGAAACAACCCAGACCGCCAGCUAAGGUCCCAAAGUCAUGGUUAAGUGGGAAACGAUGUGGGAAGGCCCAGACAGCCAGGAUGUUGGCUUAGAAGCAGCCAUCAUUUAAAGAAAGCGUAAUAGCUCACUGGUCGAGUCGGCCUGCGCGGAAGAUGUAACGGGGCUAAACCAUGCACCGAAGCUGCGGCAGCGACACUGUGUGUUGUUGGGUA